UGAACGCUAGCUACAGGCUUAACACAUGCAAGUCGAGGGGCAGCAUCAUCAAAGCUUGCUUUGAUGGAUGGCGACCGGCGCACGGGUGAGUAACACGUAUCCAACCUGCCGACAACACUGGGAUAGCCUUUCGAAAGAAAGAUUAAUACCGGAUGGCAUAGUUUUUCCGCAUGGGACAAUUAUUAAAGAAUUUCGGUUGUCGAUGGGGAUGCGUUCCAUUAGGCAGUUGGCGGGGUAACGGCCCACCAAACCAACGAUGGAUAGGGGUUCUGAGAGGAAGGUCCCCCACAUUGGAACUGAGACACGGUCCAAACUCCUACGGGAGGCAGCAGUGAGGAAUAUUGGUCAAUGGACGAGAGUCUGAACCAGCCAAGUAGCGUGAAGGAUGACUGCCCUAUGGGUUGUAAACUUCUUUUAUACGGGAAUAAAGUUAGCCACGUGUGGCUUUUUGUAUGUACCGUAUGAAUAAGGAUCGGCUAACUCCGUGCCAGCAGCCGCGGUAAUACGGAGGAUCCGAGCGUUAUCCGGAUUUAUUGGGUUUAAAGGGAGCGUAGGCGGGUUGUUAAGUCAGUUGUGAAAGUUUGCGGCUCAACCGUAAAAUUGCAGUUGAUACUGGCGACCUUGAGUGCAACAGAGGUAGGCGGAAUUCGUGGUGUAGCGGUGAAAUGCUUAGAUAUCACGAAGAACUCCGAUUGCGAAGGCAGCUUACUGGAUUGUAACUGACGCUGAUGCUCGAAAGUGUGGGUAUCAAACAGGAUUAGAUACCCUGGUAGUCCACACAGUAAACGAUGAAUACUCGCUGUUGGCGAUAUACGGUCAGCGGCCAAGCGAAAGCAUUAAGUAUUCCACCUGGGGAGUACGCCGGCAACGGUGAAACUCAAAGGAAUUGACGGGGGCCCGCACAAGCGGAGGAACAUGUGGUUUAAUUCGAUGAUACGCGAGGAACCUUACCCGGGCUUAAAUUGCAACUGACUGAACCGGAAACGGUUCUUUCUUCGGACAGUUGUGAAGGUGCUGCAUGGUUGUCGUCAGCUCGUGCCGUGAGGUGUCGGCUUAAGUGCCAUAACGAGCGCAACCCUUAUCGAUAGUUACUAGCAGGUCAUGCUGAGGACUCUAUUGAGACUGCCGUCGUAAGAUGUGAGGAAGGUGGGGAUGACGUCAAAUCAGCACGGCCCUUACGUCCGGGGCUACACACGUGUUACAAUGGGGGGUACAGAAGGCAGCUACACGGCGACGUGGUGCUAAUCCCGAAAGCCUCUCUCAGUUCGGAUUGGAGUCUGCAACCCGACUCCAUGAAGCUGGAUUCGCUAGUAAUCGCGCAUCAGCCACGGCGCGGUGAAUACGUUCCCGGGCCUUGUACACACCGCCCGUCAAGCCAUGAAAGCCGGGGGUACCUGAAGUACGUAACCGCGAGGAGCGUCCUAGGGUAAAACUGGUGAUUGGGGC
rnacentral:rRNA from 1 species